rnacentral:tRNA from 1 species
GCACACUUAGCUUAGAGGUUAGAGCAUCACAUUAGUAAUGCGAGUCAUCGGUUCAAAUCCGAUAGUUGGCC